GAAAGGUCAAAUUUAUGUGAAUAUUUGUGUUUCUUUUCGCUUUCAUUCCGUCUAUGGUGUAUAAGAACUUGAUUAUAAUUCAAGUAUUACAUCAUUAUUCAACUCUCAAAGUUGCUGCUGCUCAACUAUAUGGGGCUAUCCAACCUCAUAGGAACUUGGUUGAAGGUAUGAAAGUAGAAAAUCUACAUUUUCUAUUUUCUCUAUUAUAUUGUGUUGCUAACUCAAGUCCAAGACUCUGAUUAAAUUCAAAUGACCAAGCUCUAAAUUGGAAUUGUUACUGAAAGAAGGUGCAGCAAACAGGAAAAUUGAUCGAAUUCUUCUCAAGGGACUCUUAUCAUCAUCGGUAGGCGUCCUAAUCAACCAGCAAAGUUUAUGUGUAAGGGACCUAAACCAAUGCUCAUCCUGAAACUCAACAUAAGUUUGUUGACUUUUCUGUAUAAGAACUUGAUUAUAAUUCAAGUAUUACAUCAUUAUUCAACUCUCAAAGUUGCUGCUGCUCAACUAUAUGGGGCUAUCCAACCUCAUAGGAACUUGGUUGAAGGUAUGAAAGUAGAAAAUCUACAUUUUCUAUUUUCUCUAUUAAAAUGUGG
rnacentral:lncRNA from 1 species